AGAAGCUAGUUCAUCAAUUGGGCUUAACUGCUGCCUAUUUAUAUCCCUUAGUCCCCUCUCAUUUCUUGGAGUUUCCUUCUCAAGGACCCAAGCAUUUAGAGAUGGAGGUCCAGCAGGGAAAGCCGUAGAUUGCUUCAGUGGCUUGCUGUACCUCAAGUUUGUACUUUCUGGACGGAAGCUGAAAAUAUCAUUCUGUGGAUUGCUUUGCUCAGAAAUCAACGAUGUGGCACGGCGCAAGGAUUCAUCAGAAGCCGCAGUUCCAUUGAUAACAUUGAUGGAGAAUUGAUCACAUGAAGUGCCUGAUGUAUAUAUUGGUUCUGAG
rnacentral:misc_RNA from 1 species